AUUGAACGCUGGCGGCAGGCCUAACACAUGCAAGUCGAGCGGAUGAAGGGAGCUUGCUCCUGGAUUCCGCGGCGGACGGGUGAGUAAUGCCUAGGAAUCUGCCUGGUAUUGGGGGAUAACGUCCGGACACGGGCGCUAAUACCGCAUACGUCCUGAGGGAGAAAGUGGGGGAUCUUCGGACCUCACGCUAUCUGAUGAGCCUAGGUCGGAUUAGCUAGUUGGUGUGGUAACGGCCUACCAAGGCGACGAUCCGUAGCCGGUCUGAGAGGAUGAUCAGUCACACUGGAACUGAGACACGGUCCAGACUCCUACGGGAGGCAGCAGUGGGGAAUAUUGGACAAUGGGCGAAAGCCUGAUCCAGCAAUGCCGCGUGUGUGAAGAAGGUCUUCGGAUUGUAAAGCACUUUAAGUUGGGAGGAAGGGAAGUAAGUUAAUACCUUGCUGUUUUGACGGUACCAACAGAAUAAGCCCCGGCUAACUACGUG
rnacentral:rRNA from 1 species